GUAUUUUUCCGGCGUUGCUCCGCAAGCUUUUUAUGUUUGGAUGCACGUUCCUCGCCCCCCCCCCAAAAAUGCCUAAAAGAUCUUAUCCUUUCGCUGAAUCUUUCUCAUCGCAGCAUAAAAUUCACAUUGGACAAAAGGAGUUGAAUAAUCGCGGCGAUUAUGGGGACAAGUAUAGACAAGAAAUCUACGGUGCUGUGCUGGUUUCAAAGGGGUGCUGUGUGUGUCAGAAGGCCCAGAGGACCAGGAGGCAGUGCUCCCAGUGUGACCGCCCAGCCUGCCCCUCCUGCAUCCAGCAGUGCUCCAACUGCUCCAGCCCCUGUUGCUCUGUCUGCACCGUCAUUGAGUAGGUCACUUUGUCAGGACAUACAAUAGACAGCAUGGUCAUAUAACGGAACCUGCCGUGCCCAACCCUCUGCGGCUCAAUCAACCAAGGACUCCUGGCACAAACAUAUCAGACAUUCCUGUGGUUGGCAGACAGCAGGUUGACUGGCAGACUGGACCUUGCUAAACCCUGUGUAACUGGGUAAAUGUGCACUGACAACCUAUACAACAGAAAAUAUAACAUGCAUAUAACUGUCUGAGGGUCUCUACAAUACUGCCCAAACAAGAAAGAAUGCAGUAACUGCUCAUAGCGUGGAACUGAGAAAAUGGCUUUUAUUUACCUUGGUUUCACAGUAACUUUAUACAGUUAAUUAUAACAUGAACCCCAUUUUAUCCAAAACACAAUACAAUAGAGGUAGGAUACUUGUCCACAUGACUAAGCAUGUAGUCAUUUUUGCUCAAAUAAAUGACCCAUUUUUGACCAAAUGAGCAGUUUGUCUUUUUGCUUGGUAGGGCAGAAUAGUAUGCAACAUAUAUGAUUAAGCAAGCAGUGCAGAGCACGUACAUUGAGAUGUAGCCUGUUUUUAUUUAUUUAUUUUUAUUCUACUUUACUUUGCUUGUUACUCAUUGUUUUCUCUGUAUCCUCUUCUC